rnacentral:rRNA from 1 species
UACACUCCUACGGGAGGCAGCAGUGGGGAAUAUUGCACAAUGGGCGCAAGCCUGAUGCAGCCAUGCCGCGUGUAUGAAGAAGGCCUUCGGGUUGUAAAGUACUUUCAGCGGGGAGGAAGGCGAUAAGGUUAAUAACCUUGUCGAUUGACGUUACCCGCAGAAGAAGCACCGGCUAACUCCGUGCCAGCAGCCACGGUAAUACGGAGGGUGCAAGCGUUAAUCGGAAUUACUGGGCGUAAAGCGCACGCAGGCGGUCUGUCAAGUCGGAUGUGAAAUCCCCGGGCUCAACCUGGGAACUGCAUUCGAAACUGGCAGGCUAGAGUCUUGUAGAGGGGGGUAGAAUUCCAGGUGUAGCGGUGAAAUGCGUAGAGAUCUGGAGGAAUACCGGUGGCGAAGGCGGCCCCCUGGACAAAGACUGACGCUCAGGUGCGAAAGCGUGGGGAGCAAACAGGAUUAGAUACCCUAGUAGUCCC